rnacentral:rRNA from 1 species
UACGUAGGGUGCGAGCGUUGUCCGGAAUUAUUGGGCGUAAAGAGCUCGUAGGCGGUUUGUCACGUCUGCUGUGAAAUCCCGAGGCUCAACCUCGGGCCUGCAGUGGGUACGGGCAGACUGGAGUGCGGUAGGGGGAGACUGGAAUUCCUGGUGUAGCGGUGGAAUGCGCAGAUAUCAGGAGGAACACCAAUAGCGAAGGCAGCUCGCUGGGACGGUACUGACGCUGAGGCGCGAAAGCGUGGGGAGCGAACAGG